AGUGAACGCUGGCGGUAGGCCUAACACAUGCAAGUCGAACGGCAGCACAGUAAGAGUUUGCUCUUACGGGUGGCGAGUGGCGGACGGGUGAGGAAUAUAUCGGAAUCUACUUUUUCGUGGGGGAUCACGUAGGUAAACUUACGCUAAUACCGCAUACGCCCUACGGUUGAAAGCAGUGGAUCUUCGGACCUUGCGCGAUUGAAUGAGCCGAUUUCGGGUUAGCUAGUUGGCGGGGUAAAGACCCACCAAUUCGACGAUCCGUAGCUGGUCGGAGAGGAUGAUAAGCAACACUGGAGCUGAGACACGGACCAGACUCCUACGAGAGGGACCAGUGGGGAAAGUUGGGCAAGGGGCGCAAGCAUGGUCCAACCGUACGACGUGGGUGAAGAAGGCCUUCGGGUUGUGAAGCCCUUUUGUUGGGGAAAAAAAGCAGCAGGUUAAUAACUCGCUGUUCUGACGGUACCCAACGAAUAAGAACAGGCUAACUUCGUG
rnacentral:rRNA from 1 species